rfam:Trichinella papuae scaffold117s, whole genome shotgun sequence.
CCAACGGCCCUUUUCAGGGCCUAAAUUUUCAAUAUCACGUUUUUG